GAUGAACGCUGGCGGCGUGCUUAACACAUGCAAGUCGAACGAACCUUCGGGUUAGUGGCGGACGGGUGAGUAACGCGUGAGAAUCUGCCCUCAGGAGGGGGAUAACGGCUGGAAACGGCCGCUAAUACCCCAUAUGCCGCGAGGUGAAAUGAAUUUCGCCUGAGGAUGAGCUCGCGUCUGAUUAGCUAGUUGGUGGGGUAAGAGCCUACCAAGGCAUCGAUCAGUAGCUGGUCUGAGAGGAUGAUCAGCCACACUGGGACUGAGACACGGCCCAGACUCCUACGGGAGGCAGCGGUGGGGAAUUUUCCGCAAUGGGCGCAAGCCUGACGGAGCAACGCCGCGUGAGGGAUGAAGGCCUCUGGGCUGUAAACCUCUUUUAUCAAGGAAGAAGAUCUGACGGUACUUGAUGAAUAAGCCACGGCUAAUUCCGUGCCAGCAGCCGCCGUAAUAC
rnacentral:rRNA from 1 species